rnacentral:rRNA from 1 species
UACGAAGGGGGCUAGCGUUGUUCGGAAUUACUGGGCGUAAAGCGCGCGCAGGCGGUUUUUCAAGUCAGUGGUGAAAGCCCGGAGCUCAACUCCGGAACUGCCUUUGGAACUGCAUCGCUUGAAUCAUGGAGAGGUUAGUGGAAUUCCGAGUGUAGAGGUGAAAUUCGUAGAUAUUCGGAAGAACACCAGUGGCGAAGGCGACUAACUGGACAUGUAUUGACGCUGAGGUGCGAAAGCGUGGGGAGCAAACAGG